CGGCAGCCAGGCUGGUCUCUGGGUCAUCCAGGAGAGACCAUAUUACUCCUGUAUUGAAGGAGUUACACUGGCUGCCGAUAUGUUUCUGGGCAAAAUACAAGACUCACAAAUAGAUGGAUACUGAUAAACUGUAUAUGGAUUUCUCCAAUGGAUGUUCCUAGGACCUGGGCCAUAUUCCAUCUUUCUUGAGGCACCUACCUUAUAAACUAAACAAAGCACUUUUGAGAAAAGAAGAGGAAGAAAGCUUGUAUAUAAAUACAGAAAAUCUAUACUGACAAGAUAAAGGAAUGCAUUAUGUUUCCUAGUUAAAACCUUUAUACAAAGCUGUGCACUAAUAUUACACCUGGGAGCCAUGAAACUGCAAUAACAUCUCCUGCACAUCAUACAAAGAAGAAGAAAAUCAUGUUGUACAGGAGAAAAUGUAAGCUUAGGUCACAAAAUGG